CCUACGGGUGGCAGCAGUGGGGAAUAUUGGGCAAUGGAGGAAACUCUGACCCAGCAAUGCCGCGUGAAUGAAGAAGGUCUUCGGAUGGGAAAGUUCUUUAGUCAGGGAAGAAGAAAAUGACGGUACCGGAAGAAUAAGCUCCGGCUAACUACGGGCCAGCAGCCGCGGUAAUACGUAGGGAGCAAGCGUUGGUAGGAAUGACUGGGCGUAAAGGGUGCGUAGGCGGGUAUACAAGUUAGAAGUGCAAUACACAGGGCUUAACGCGGGUGCUGCUUCUCAAACUGUAAGACUUGAUUGCAGUAGAGGUUAGUGGCAUUCCUCGUGUAGCGGUGGACUGCGUAGAUAUUCGGAG
rnacentral:rRNA from 1 species